ACGCUCGACACCUACGGGAGGAGCAGUGGGGAAUAUUGCACAAUGGGGGAAACCCUGAUGCAGCGACGCCGCGUGAAGGAUGAAGUAUUUCGGUAUGUAAACUUCUAUCAGCAGGGAAGAAAAUGACGGUACCUGACUAAGAAGCCCCGGCUAACUACGUGCCAGCAGCCGACGGUAAUCUGAGGCGGGCGUGGACGAAGGC
rnacentral:rRNA from 1 species